GACCACGUAGCUCAGUUGGCAGAGCAUUCGGACUAGUAUCCCAAAGGUCGCGGGUUCGACUCCCACCGUGGCCA